rnacentral:rRNA from 1 species
GAUGAACGCUGGCGGCGUGCUUAACACAUGCAAGUCGAACGUGAGGGUGCAGCAAUGUGCCUGAAAGUGGCGAACGGGUGAGUAACACGUAGAUGACCUGCCCUGGAGUGGGGGAUAACCACUGGAAACGGUGGCUAAUACCGCAUACAUCCAGAGAACUGGGAAGUUUUCUGGGGAAAGCUCGGGUGCUUCAGGAGGGGUCUGCGUCCGAUUAGCUAGUUGGCGGGGUAAAGGCCCACCAAGGCGACGAUCGGUAGCUGGUCUGAGAGGACGAUCAGCCACACGGGAACUGAGACACGGUCCCGACUCCUACGGGGGGCAGCAGUGAGGAAUAUUGGGCAAUGGGCGAAAGCCUGACCCAGCAACGCCGCGUGGAGGAAGACGGCCUUCGGGUUGUAAACUCCUUUUGACGGGGAAGAGAGAGGACGGUACCCGUCGAAUAAGUCACGGCUAACUACGUGCCAGCAGCCGCAGUAAAAC